AACGAACACUGGCGGCAUGCCUAACACAUGCAAGUCGAACGAGACCUUCGGGUCUAGUGGCGCACGGGUGCGUAACGCGUGGGAAUCUGCCCUUGGGUUCGGAAUAACAGUUGGAAACGACUGCUAAUACCGGAUGAUGACGUAAGUCCAAAGAUUUAUCGCCCAGGGAUGAGCCCGCGUAGGAUUAGCUAGUUGGUGGGGUAAAGGCCUACCAAGGCGACGAUCCUUAGCUGGUCUGAGAGGAUGAUCAGCCACACUGGGACUGAGACACGGCCCAGACUCCUACGGGAGGCAGCAGUGGGGAAUAUUGGACAAUGGGCGAAAGCCUGAUCCAGCAAUGCCGCGUGAGUGAUGAAGGCCUUAGGGUUGUAAAGCUCUUUUACCCGGGAUGAUAAUGACAGUACCGGGAGAAUAAGCCCCGGCUAACUCCGUG
rnacentral:rRNA from 1 species